CUUCCCUUCUCCAGCUGAGCAAACCAAGUGCCCUCAGCCACUCUUUGUAGGGCCCCUUCAGACCCUUCACCAUCUUCACUGCCCUCCUUUGGACAUUCUCUAAUUGCUUAAGAUCUUUCUUGUAUCGUGGCAUCUGAAACUGCACACGAGACUUGAGGUGGUAGCCUUUUCACCUUAGACAUACUUAAAGUGGCAACUGCUUGCAUCUUGAGAUCUGCCAUCAACAGGGCAGCCAAACUGUUGCCAUAUCUGGUAAAUGAGCAUAAGUAUCAACUACCAGGGAAGAAACCCAUAAAUGAGCAUUAGUAUCAACUACUGGAAGAAACCUGCUCUUCACUGCACGGGCAGUGAGGAAUUAACUGUCUUGGAUUUUACCAGAAGAAGUUAUUUUUUAAAAGGCUAAGGUGCCUGAGCUCCAGAGGUUUCCUGCAAAGUUUAUCAUUGCAAUAAUACCACAACACCUGAGCAGUUCUCUGCUGUUCAGGUGUUGGAAAACUACAGGAAGUGUCAAGCUGCUGAUGCUGUAUGUUCACAUUAAUAUUUUAUUAAUGAGGAAAAGUAUAUUGUUAAUGAGAUUUCAGUCAGGCUGGAUUGGCACCCACAGUAAAUAUUCCCAGCAGGGAAUAGCUGUUGCAGCAGGAGUGGGCCAGCUCACUCCCAAGCAGUGAGUGCCAUGGGUGUGUGUCUGAGCCCAACUGGUGCAGCAUCAGGAUGAUGGAAUAAAGAAUCCUGGAAAAGCUAUGGAAGUAAUCAAUGACAAGUGCAUGUUUCUUGGAGAUCUGUUUUUGCAGUAAUCUGAGAGUGUGGUUUCCUAAGUAAAUAUUCUGGUCUCUUUCUGAACUACUUUUCCCUUAGAAUUCUUAGAUUACCCUAUAAGAAUAGAUAUGUUAUAGUAACAUUGAAAUCAUAAAACUAUUUGGAACACUUUGAGGAACACACAAAACAUGGUAACAGGCCAAUAGUGCUAAUACAAGGAAAGGGGAUCAAGGAGAAAGAACUUCAGAAUUUCAAAUAUCCUAAAAAUCACCAAAAUUUGGUCAAAAUAACAAGUACUGCCAUCUAUGAGGUGUCUAAAAAUCAGACUUUCAGACAGCCCUGCAUCUAUCCAAUGCUCCAACAGUGCAAAGCUUGAUCAGAAACAAGCCAUUCUGUAAGUAGCCUUGUGAGCAAUAACUGAGUCAAGAAGAAUUCACUUCUUUUUGUUAAUUGUCUCACAGGGUCUUUAAGAUCAAUGGUCAUAAGAAUGCCAAAUAAUCUAUAAAUAAAAGAUGAUAAAUUUGCUUGUUUUUUUUUUUCUGUUUUGUUGUUUAGGAAGGAAACUAGUCCAGAGCAUCUGCCACCAGAAGCCUGACUGUCAGCAUCCUUGCAGUCAGGGAGGCGCAGCAGAGCUGAGCACUGCCAGCUUGUGCCCAGCCACAAACACAGCCCUCGCUCUCCAUCGAGAAGGAGGAGAGAGGAAAAGCAUAAGGCAAGCACCUGCCUCAGCUGCCAGCCUGCUCCUACAAACCCCACAGCUUGCACAGAGCAGCCGAGCUGAGUUGAUGCCAGGAAAGUGAAGAUCUUGUAAGACGAUGUUUAAACUUGUGUAUUCCCAGCUUUUGUAAUUACAGGUUCCCAGAUCAGGAUGAUGCAUGGAAAAAGCACACAGAUAAAGCAUCAUUUGCCCAAACAUGUCAUCAGACACUGACUUCCUAAAGAUGCCUGUGUUCUAGGAGAACCUACAAACAGUUCUUGAGGCUCCAGGGUGGACUGAGGAGGGAGUAAAAUGAGUGAAAGUAAACAAGUGUGCCUCUGCUGUACCAGGACAUGAUAUGCACUUAAGCCUUUGGGCAUAAUGAGCAAAGCAGACCCCAGCGCGACGGAGCUGAAAGAAAAUUCCAUUCUGCAGCGGGUGGAAGGGAGCCGCAGGCAGGGAGCGGGCGGGAGCUGCACAGAGAGCCGCGGUCCGGAGCAGCGCCGCAUCGGGACUGCCUGGGGUCACAGCCUGCCUGCUGCAGCUCACGGGGCUUGCAUUUGGGACUGCCGCCCUUGCAGUGAGAAAUAGACAUGUGAUGCAAGUGUAUAUAUAGACUGAAUAGACUUGGGACAAAUGUUUGAAAACUUCUUGCAACCAGUUGCUCACAAAUGAUCUACAGCAAGAGCUACUUCCAGAAUGGUUACUGCACACAUGUUUGGAAAAAAGAUAUUCAAGCAAAUCAAUCUGCUUGUGGACAAAUAAUGAAAAGAGAAGAAGGAAAAAUUCCUCUAACAAAUAGGAAACUGCAAAUUAUUCAGUCAGCUGAGUUGGCAACAACCAAUUUUUGUGAGAGAAAGAUACCAGGACUGAGACUCUUUCAUGUCACCGAAGUCAACUAUGGCAAAAAGGUGCAUUUCUGCAAGAAUAUUAUAGGCAACCUCCUCAGCAACAGAAGGAUGUGCUGCAGAAGGUGAUGUUCAGGAGCCGUUUCCACGAGGAUUCAGGAUGAGGAUAUCUGCAUCCAGCUGAGCUGUGCCAAAACUACCUUGACUUCCUGGCUCUUAUACCUUUCUUUCCAUGCUGCAAAUCCAUGUUAGCUUCAAGACUGCUUGAAAUGUCUGUGGCUGGCAAUGCCAGCCCAUGGCUGGUGAACAUCCUACCCACAGCUGGUGCUUUAGGAGCCCUUUCGGUAGCACCUGCCUCCUUGGGACAGGAGCUGGGGCAUACAGUAGUUCAUCACCUCAUUGUCAGAGCACAGCUGAUAUGUUGGUGGACUAACUUCAACAAUUUCACUGCAGGAGAGCUUUAAUUCUAACUCUUGUAAGAAUAUAGACAAUUUUCUCAGUCUGCUUCAGUCUACGAAUUGCAGAUACAUGUGUAGGUUAUUUGAUCCUGGAUACGAAACCCACCACUGCCUGUGGGUAUUCUCAGCUCAGUCAGACAGAAAAAGAAAGGUUUUCUAACAAGGUGAGAGCCUGAGAAGUAGUUAGAAAACCUUUCUCUUUCUCUCUGACUGAGCUGAGAAUACCCACAACUGCCCUCUGUCUUUACCUUCCCUAUUCCCUACAAUUUGGGAACAUUUGCCUAGAAAGGAUAAGAAAACAUUCAGCUGCUGCAGAUCCUCCUAAACCCACCAGCUUUUUUGUUUGUUUGUUUAAUUUGCUACAUAUGAUUAACUCCACUGAGUUUCUGCCAGGCAGAAUUUGCAACUCAAAGUACCCCAUGAGUGUGCUGCAGCACUGCCAGGAAUUGAAUACCACCAUUCUUCAUAAUCGCUGUUUUUCCAAAGAUCAGGUAUAGCAGACAGGCUAUUUUAGGCUAUAAAUGGAAAUCAGGAAAUGAGAUUUUUUUCCCCUGCUAGUUCCUCUCCUGGGAAUUUUAGUCCUUUUCUCUGUGCACAUGCUUUGGUUGUUGGUAUAGUGGUAAUGUGGGUCUCUCAGACUAUCUGUCACUGGAGCCUGUUCUGUGCCAGUGAACAUGGGAAAUCAUUCCCACUAGUACCAAUGUGCUGUUUGUUGAUAUAAUAUCACAUAUAAGACCAAAACCAGAUCAGGAUAGCCUGAUUUACCCCAUGAUUCUGGGGACAGGUGGUUCAAAAGUAAGGUUUACAAAGUAAGUAAAGGUAUUUCCCAGCUACCUGCACUUCCUUUUCUAAUAGUGGUAGUCCAUUUGCAACUCUCAGUUUUGCAGAUUUCCUGUUACCUCCUGUGGAUGAUCAAAGUCCAGUCAUGAAUGCAGGCACUCUGGACUUGCAGUCUUGUCAAUAUCAGGGAUGUCUGGCCUUGCCUUCAGUUUAUAGCACAGACAUUGCCAUCUAAAUCAUCUGUAUCAUAUGGAUCUAAUGCAAAAUCUUUGCAUGGCCUUUAAAUCUGAGAAGUUCUAAUUAUUGUUCUUCUAUCAUCAAUUCUUCUAUCAUCAGUUCUAUCAUUCUUCAUGAAUUAUGCAAUUUCCUUUUUUCUGGAAAAAGCUUUGCAUUAUUAGGAGUUAAAAAGAUUAGGUUUUGCUACAGCAACAUGCAGAUCUCAGAACUUGAGAACAAACCCUUAGCAUCAUAUACACUUUUCUGUUGCCUCUAAUGGUAAUGAGAAGCAUUUUCUGGGCUAGAAAAUACCUCAUUAGUUCAUGACAGGGUGAUUCUAGGCCUGUAUGCCCUUGUUUGAUUACAUGCUAAUCACAGGUGUCCUUUGAUAGGGUCAAAAAGUAAUUAUCCUUUGAUAUUUUAGUCAAUUGUAGUACUACUGAGAAGUACUCUUUUCCUGCCUAUAGAAAUAAAGAACCCAUUUAACCUUGGAAAAACAUGAUUCUUGCUAUUUUCUUCACUGAAGGAAAAGGAGUGGGCUUUUUUGGGUACAAACCUAUUCAGUGAGAGAUACCUUUGUGUUCUGGGGUGACUUUCUGAUUCUUGUAUCCCCAUUCGUCUAUUCAACCCAGAAAAAAGUUUUGCACCUUUAGGACUGGUUCCAAGAGUGAAGGGGGGGCGAGAAGGAGUUUGUUAUCAGAAACUGCACUUGCUCCCCUGCAUCCUUCUCCUGGACUGUGUUGUCUGCAGCAGGGACAGACAGCGGGAUAGAGCUCUCCUUUGCUUUUUAGUUAGUAUUUAGCUAGCUGAGGCAGAGAAUUUUGCUGGACUGUGGUUUUUCUUUUUUCGUGGAACUGUUUAAACCUGCUCUGGACUGAACACCCAGAAGAGCACCAGCAGCUCACACCUGUAGCACACCAGGCUGGAUCUGGGCUGUGGCAUUUCCAGGGCCAGAGAGACUGACAACAGAAUGAGUGAGCAGAGCCACAGCCCACACAAAGGGGACUUUCUGAGUUUGUCAUCUCUUCAGAGCGGAAGCUCAGCUGGCACAGCCCCUGCCUCUGGACUUGCUGUUCACCACAUCCAUCCAGGAGAUUGGGUCCUAGUUAAGGAGUGGAAAGAAGCACCCCUGGUGAUGAAGUGGUGUGGACCUUUCCAUGUGUUACUGACCAGAGAAACAGCCGUCAAGACAGCUGAACACAGGAGGACCCAUCACACUUGGGUCAAGGUCUCUGAAGCCCUGGAGAUUUGGACAUCUCAGCGGGAGGAGAAGGAUGGGAAGCCGCAACUGACACUCCGCAGGGGUGAACUGGAGCAGCAGCCAGUGCAUCGACAUCGGGGGAAUCCCUGUGUGCCUACUCAGACUGCCUGGUGAAAUAGUCUGUGUGGGCAUCUCUGCUCUUGGACCUCCAGUCACUGGGGCCAAUCCUCGCUGUCAUUGUUUUCUUUAUGUUAAGCUGUUUCUGUGCCUUCUCUCACCACAGGUGGUGUGGAAGAUAACAUGAAAGUGAAAAUUAGGUUAGAAGAUUACAUUACACCAUUAGAAUGUUUCUCUUAAUAAUCUUACCCUUAUAUUGUCCGUUAGGUUGGGGCCAAAAGUGGGAAAAUAAUUUUUAUCACUUUGGGAGAAGUAGCAAAAACCUUUAACCUUAGCAAUUGUUGGGUCUGUGGAGGGCCAGAGGGAUCUGAAAGUUGGCCAUGGGUGGCCAGCCCAGUCGGGCCUAAAUGGUGGGUUAGCACCCUGAGUGAGGUCCAUAAUGGAAGAGGAUUUUGGGAUGAAGAAGGAAGUCCAUGGAAGAGCUUAAUUCUUCUGAAAGAGGCAUUUAUUGUCUAAAUAGAACAGGGAACAUAUAUGUGGGAAAAAGUGUUUGUGACUGGACUUUAUCUUUGGGUUUAGAUUGUUUGACCCCAACUGCUCCCCUUAUGAGUGUUCCAGAUAUAAAGGCAGAUGGAAUCAAAGGCCUGUUAAGCUCACUAAUCGUAGCUGGGUAAGGUGUUCCUUCCAUAAUUACAAUGGAAAGGUGGUGGUCCAAACUAGGAAAGGAUGGGAAUGGGACAUGUUUUGUGGUUACCUGGUGGACUAUGGGUUAAAAAAAUGCUUUUUUCCUCAUAUGUGCUGUGGCAACUCUAAUCUUUUUACCAUACACAAUCCCUUGCUUAGUACAACUUAUUCAACAUGUGAUCAAAGGGGUGCAGAUAAUAGCCAUGCCUACUGAUCCAGAGAUGGCUACAAAAGGGCAGAAACUGAUGUCUCUGCAAAUAAUUGCAAAACCAAAAAAGGACGCAGGAACAGAAAAUUAAGUUAAUGAUAACUAAAAUUUGUAAAGACAAUUAUUAAAAAUAAAAGAGGAGGGAUUGAGAGGAAUAGUGAAUUUGUCUUUACAAACAAGCUGUGGGUCUGCUGGUAGAUAAAACUAGCACUGGGAGAUAAAAGAAACAAUGGGAAGGAUUCCACUGAUUGAUGAAUGGAAAAAGAUAUUUGCUUUUACAAAUAAACUUUAGGUUUGCUGAUAAAUUAAAUUAGACAUUGACAGAUGAAAGAAACAAUGGGGGAAAACCCUAAAUUCCAUAAGAAUUAAAAAUUAAAAGGGAGGGUUAUACAUUAGAGGGAAAUCUCUGGUACCAGGCAUAUUGGGAAGUCUGUACCUCUCAAGUACCUCAGCCAGUGGGGAAAGAGACAGGGAAAUGCGGCCAGGAAAUUAGGGUAAAAAGGAGGCUGUGUCCUCCAAAAAUUGGAGAGACCUCAGGGGAAUGCCCCAUGGCCUCUCCCUUUAUUCGAAUAAAGAAAAAAGACUCCUCUGUCUCCUUUUUGGACAUAAACCUCUGAUGUUUGUGGAUUAAUUUUCCUGACAGUGUUAAGGUACAAAACUCAGCUAAGGAGCUGAAGUGGAGUCAGACUGGAUAUUUUGGAAUACAGCGGGAAUCAGGUCUAUCUGAUCCCGCAUAUUAGAAAAACAAGGCACAGGGAACAGACUGCUGCUUUCAGUUGACUUAAUUAGUUUAUACACUGAAACUAUGAAUAAAGAGGCUGUGCAGUUCUUUGGCUUCAGUAGUAACCCCACAACCAUGACAACAGCGAAGCAUUGCUGAUCACCAUGACAAAGAGCCGAGGACUGCUGCCACUGAGAGCCAGCUCCGGCCCAUCAGGCAUUCGGUGUGAGUGGAAAAACCCACCCUGAAAAACAGGCCCUGAAAAACUCACCCCGCCACUGCUGUACUCCACGCUCCAGUUCUAGUCCCCUGCAAAAAUCAGUGUUUGGGAACAGAUUUGGGCAGCUCACACAUGUCCAUGUCAUUUCAUGAACAGUAACAGGAGUAUCUAGUGAAGCCAGGAUGUAACACAGAGGUUUCUUAAAAAAUAGAGAUUUGAAUAGUUAGAGGCCUGUAACAGAAUGCUGUGCCUCUGCCUGCCCCAAGCUCCCAGCCUGGCACAGGGGAAUUCUCCAGGCUCCAGCCCACAUCUUGAACAUUUUGUCCUAGAUCUGAUUCAAAAAGACAAUAAAAAAAAUUUCUCUGUUUGCUCCCAGCCCUUCCCUCUGGUUCACUCCGUGGUAAGAGACAGGCUGAGCAGUGAGUUGGCAGUCACAGGGAUGACAUUGUCACAGGGUGUACAGGCAUGCAUCCCCUCCAAAGCCCAGAGUAUCCUUUUCUAUCCUGGUGCCCUCAUGGAACAGCCCCAGCUCCCCGAGACCCUUUCCCCAGGGUGGGCACAGCCCCUUGGGAUGCUCCAGCUUUGCAGAACAAGGAGGGGAGGAAAGAAGAAAGGGGAACUUUGCUUUUUCAUCUGGAAAAGGUCAUCUCAGGCUGUCCCCCCACUGGGGUCCAGCAGGGACCCCCUGGCCCAGCUGAGCUCCCCACUCACUUGCCCACUGGUGGCCAGCACAGUCCCACCUGCCCUGCACAGGGACCAUCACUCCUGGGGACACUGUGUGUGUCACUAGAGCCUGAGCUGCUGAUGCUGAGCACAGUCAAAAGUUUACCCAGAGAGAUUAAAUAAAGAAAAUAAACAGUGCUGUGAGAAAGGCACGGAAUUGAGGCACUUUCCCACAGGACCAACUCCGCAUGUGUGUGAAUGGAGAUGAAGCACCCAGGGAAGGGAGACAACUCAAAGCAUCUCAGAGCUGAUUAAAAAGAGAUGGAGAGCCCAGCCUGGCUCCAAGAGGGUCCCACACCUCUGGAACAGGGGCACAGCUCCACUCUGGGCACUUCUAAUUCAGCUGGAGCUGGACACAGGAAACCUGCUCAUAGUGUCAGCUCCAGCUGAAGUGGAGCAUUUGGGUUUGCUUUGCAGCAAUUGUGUUUUCCCAUGAAGAAACCAUCCAGGCAAGUGAUUUCCAAUUUUCCUUGUCUGCUUUUGUAAUAAGAGGUGGUAGAAAACAGUGAAGAAUAAUCAUAUAAUCACAGAAUGGUUUGUGUUUGAAGUGACCUUAAAGCUCUUCUAAUUCCAACCCCCUGCCAGAGGCAGGGAGACCUUCCAGUAGGUAGAAGGAAAUAGAAGGAAAAGGACAAAUAGAAGUCUCCAACUGCUGAACUCUACAAGUUGCAUGUCCCUUUGCUUGGCUUUGCUCAUCAGUAAACAGAAAUAUUCUGCAUUGCUAAUUGUCAUCUUCUUCAUAUCAUCUCUCAGUGUUGAAUAAAUGUAAAAUAAAUACAGAAAUAUGCUCCUAGAAUCCUACUGCAAGAGCAAAUGGGA